rnacentral:misc_RNA from 1 species
UUGAUUUUUAAAGAUGUGCUGGCCUUUGGUAUGUGCACUCUUAAAAACCUAUCAUCCACCUGUGCACUCCAAGUAGGCAUAUAUGCCUAUGCUUUUUUUACACACCAUUGAUAUAUUUGAAUGCUUUGAUUAACCAAUUGUAAAA